UACAGAGGGGGCAAGCGUUAUUCGGAAUUAUUGGGCGUAAAGGGCGCGUAGGCGGCCUGGCAAGUGGAAGGUGAAAUCCCUCGGCUUAACCGAGGAACUGCCUCCCAAACUGCUUGGCUUGAGACCAGGAGAGGUGAGUGGAAUUCCCAGUGUAGCGGUGAAAUGCGUAGAUAUUGGGAGGAACACCAGUGGCGAAGGCGGCUCACUGGACUGGUACUGACGCUGAGGCGCGAAGGCGUGGGGAGCAAACGGG
rnacentral:rRNA from 1 species